CCCUCCCUGCCUGCCUCCCUGCCUGCCUCCCUGCCUUCUUUCCUGCCUUCAUGUGGCAGUUGUUUGAUUGUUAUAGCAAAUUGCCUGACAGAAAGGAGGAAAUACAGUCACACAGACAUGAAAAUUAGUAAUGUGGUAAAGAUUAUUUGCACAAUCUGCAUCUCAUCACUGGAACUCAACACAGGAAAUGACUGACCUGGGACCAGGCUGAACCAUGCUUUUUCCUGCAAUCCUGUUACAGCUUGGUGAAAACAAAGAGGUGUUUAGAAGACUGUGGAAGAGAUUUGUACCACAUAUGUAAAUAUCCCACCUGGACAUAAAUAACAGUUUCCACUGUGCAUUUGGCCACAGAAUAAAGCUUUAUGGCAAAGCCCACAGUUUCCAUCUACCUACUUCUUUCAUAUAAGUGUAUAACUACCGGAGGUGCC